CCUACGGGAGUCAGCAGUGGGGAAUAUUGGACAAUGGGGGCAACCCUGAUCCAGCCAUGCCGCGUGUGUGAAGAAGGCCCUCGGGUUGUAAAGCACUUUCAGUGAGGAAGAACGCCUGGUGGUUAAUACCCAUCAGGAAAGACAUCACUCACAGAAGAAGCACCGGCUAACUCCGUGCCAGCAGCCGCGGUAAUACGGAGGGUGCGAGCGUUAAUCGGAAUUACUGGGCGUAAAGCGCGCGUAGGUGGCUUGAUAAGCCGGUUGUGAAAGCCCCGGGCUCAACCUGGGAACGGCAUCCGGAACUGUCAAGCUAGAGUGCAGGAGAGGAAGGUAGAAUUCCCGGUGUAGCGGUGAAAUGCGUAGAGAUCGGGAGGAAUACCAGUGGCGAAGGCGGCCUUCUGGACUGACACUGACACUGAGGUGCGAAAGCGUGGGUAGCAAACAGGAUUAGAUACCCUUGUAGUC
rnacentral:rRNA from 1 species